AUUGAACGCUGGCGGCGUGCUUUACACAUGCAAGUCGGACGAGUGGCGAACGGGUGAGUAACGCAUCGGAACCUACCCAGUCAUGGGGGAUAACUGUUUGAAAGGGCAGCUUAUACCCCAAAUUAUUCGAGUGGCCGAUGUGUGAUUAGAGUGUUGGCGGGGUAAGGGCCCACCAAGGCGACGUUCAGUAGCGGGUCUGAGAGGAUGAUCCGCCACACUGGGACUGAGACACGGCCCAGACUCCUACGGGAGGCAGCAGUGGGGAAUUUUGGACAAUGGGCGCAAGCCUGAUGCAGCCAUGCCGCGUGUCUGAAGAAGGCCUUCGGGUUGUAAAGUACUUUUGUCAGGGAGGCGUUACCUGAAGAAGAAGCACCGGCUAACUACGUGCCAGCCGCCGCGGUAAUUC
rnacentral:rRNA from 1 species